ACUCCUACGGGAGGCAGCGGUAGGGAAUAUUGGGCAAUGGGCGAAAGCCUGACCCAGCGACGCCGCGUGAGGGAUGAAGGUCUUCGGAUUGUAAACCUCUUUCAGUAGGGAAGAAGCGAAAGUGACGGUACCUAAAGAAGAAGCACCGGCUAACUAUGUGCCAGCAGCCGCGGUAAUAC
rnacentral:rRNA from 1 species